rnacentral:rRNA from 1 species
UACGAAGGGGGCUAGCGUUGUUCGGAAUUACUGGGCGUAAAGCGUAUGCAGGCGGAUCAUUAAGUCGGGGGUGAAAUCCCGAGGCUCAACCUCGGAACUGCCUUCGAUACUGAUGAUCUUGAGUCCGGGAGAGGUGAGUGGAAUUCCGAGUGUAGAGGUGAAAUUCGUAGAUAUUCGGAAGAACACCAGUGGCGAAGGCGACUCACUGGACACAUAUUGACGCUGAGGUGCGAAAGCGUGGGGAGCAAAUAGG